CCCGCUCCUAAAUCCCCUCCCUUAGUCGCGGUUUCCCCGAAUUUGCUAUCAUUAGCAAGUGCGGUCGUGACAUUAACGGACUCAGAUUUCACUUCCGAGUUCAUUGUUCUCAUUCAAAUAAUUAUCUCGAAUUAUUCAAAUACUCAAACUCAAAUACGGAUAUAAAAUCCCACAUCAUUCUCACAUCAUCGAAAGAACAUCUCAACAUCUUUAAAAAAAAAAACAAAAAAAAAAAAAGAGAACUUCAUAUAACUCC
rnacentral:lncRNA from 1 species